rnacentral:rRNA from 1 species
GUCAGUAAAACUCGUGCCAGCAACCGCGGUUAGACGAGAGGCCCAAGUUGAUGGACAUACUCGGCACCAAGCGUGGUUAAGGAGACUAAAAAAAUAAAGUCGAACAUUUUCAUGGCUGUUAUACGCAUCCGAAAACAUGAAGCCCAACUACGAAAGUAACUUUAACAAACCUGAACCCACGAAAGCUAAGGAACAAACUGGGAUUAGAUACCCCACUAUG